CAGUUGGCCGCCUGGUGUUUGCACCACAUCUGCACCAACUACAACAGUGUAUGCUCCAAGUUCCGUAAGGAAAUCAAAUCAAAAUCUGCAGACAACCAGGAAUACUUCGAGCGGCACCGCUGGCCCCCUGUGUGGUACCUGAAGGAAGAAGAUCACUACCAGCGUGUGAAAAGGGAACGAGAGAAGGAAGAUAUUGCACUAAAUAAGCAUCGCUCAAGACGAAAGUGGUGCUUCUGGAAUUCAUCUCCAGCAGUGGCCUGAAGAGGAAGAGAAAAAAAACAAAAAACAGAAACCAAUCGGAUCAAAGCACAAGCUCACCAUCAAUGAGCCUGGACAAAAAGGGAAGCUGACUCUCACUGCAUUCCUUAAACUGAUAUGUAUAUUUUUUUUGUUAGGAGGCUUAAUAAACUUUAGUCUGUUAUUUUGUUUCUUUUUAUACAAAGAAAA
rnacentral:lncRNA from 1 species